UGUUGUCUCUCCCCCUGUCCUGUUGUCUCUCCCUGUCCUGUUGUCUCUCCCCCUGUCCUGUUGUCUCUCUCCCCCGUCCUGUUUCAGGUUCCAGUGAUGAGACAAGCACAAACCCAUACCAGACAUGGACCAAGCUAAGUAUUUUUGGAACAACUAUUUGUCUGCAGUGCAUUUAUUCCCCCAAUUGUCACUAACAGUGAAUGUACACUAGAUAGCAGUAAAUUGCAGCGUGCCGCUCAGGCCGCCCAUUGUGACUCGCUGGUGGGCGUGCUGGCAGUAUAUUGCAGCAUGUUUGAUUGUGUCAAGAAUUCAGCAUAGCAAGUUUGUAUGAAGGUCUGGUUAUUAAAUGGGUACAUAGUUCAAUAGCAAUAUCCUCUAAAACGUUCUGGUGACAAACAAACCUUGCUGCCCUGUUUCCAAUUGUCCACAUGGCUGGGAGAACCUAUUCAAGAUGUUUCAAGAAUGGGGUCCAACAACGCAGCAAGAGGCAAUCGUGGUGCAGGAGAUCUUCACCUCCUACUUCCUCGAAGAGGGUGCUGUUCCCUGGCAACACCAUAGGCUACACUAUGCACAACCAAAGGCUCUUUUAAGAGGGUGCUGUUCCCUGGCAACAACAUAGGCUACACUAUGCACAACCAAAGGCUCUUUUAAGAGGGUGCUGUUCCCUGGCAACACCAUAGACUACACUAUGCACAACCAAAGGCUCUUUUAAGAGGGUGCUGUUCCCUGGCAACACCAUAGACUACACUAUGCACAACCAAAGGCUCCUUUAAGAGGGUGCUGUUCCCUGGCAACACCAUAGACUACACCACGCACAACCAAAUGCUCUUUUUAAGAGUCAUUCACAUUGCAAUAAGAGUAUUCUUCCAUUUACGUAGCUGUCAACUGAAGUUAUUCAAUUCCCAGUUUCUCUCCCUUUGAUUUCUACUUCUCAGGUGAGGGUGCUGUUUAGGUAAGGGUGUGAUGUCUGUACAAAAACAACAGGCUAUUUUAAAUCACCCAUAUUGAAAAAAUGUAGAACAAUUAGACAGCCUAUAACCCACACCUAUAUGCUAUUGUAUCAAUCUGAUUGAUGCAUUGUGGUGUGCAGUAAGCAGGCUCAGGUGUAUAACUGUGGCUCCUUCCAUGUUCAAAGAAUAGGCAAGAGGGCCAACCAUGGAGAAUAGUCAGACACUUCAUUAUUUCUACAACUACGCUAUAUUGUUUGUCCUCUUGUGUCUGUGCAUGUUUUUCAGCAUUAAGUACUCUGCAGCCACUCUGCAGUGGUGAGGACACCAGGUGAGGACACCAGGGUUAUAUUAGCAGUGUCGGUCAAACCCUGAGGCAUUAGGACUGGCUACAUAGAGGGCACAGCAUGAUCAGAGGUGAGAGGUCACAUGGUCGGGUCAACAGGAAGUAUUAUUAAAGAGAUGCUUUACAUUGAAAUACAGAUAGAGAUGCAGUCGUCCCAGAAUUAAUGAUCCAAGGUCAUUUUGCAUUUUACCUCCUGAUCAUUAUGAUGACUAACAAUGUUAAAAUAAAAACAGGGCUUAAAAACAUGCUCUCUCUCUCGUCUGCUGGUAUGUUUUGAUGUGAGAGAGGAUGCCAACCCCCAGUCCCAUCAUCACCACCUUACCCACUGUUAAGAACCUUCAGGCUGACUAGAGACACUAUUAUGUAAUUGUGAUGAACUGAGAAAAUAUUUUGAGUUGCACUGGUUCAUUAGUCAUAUGCUGCCUUCUCUGCACCUAAGUUCACACCUCUCUCACCACAUUUCUUCCUGUUUUUAUAAUGCACAACAGAUGUACAUUGAAGUACAGAUUCAACUUGUAUUUUAUAAUAUUACAAUUAUAUUUGUAAUGCAUGUAUUUAUAACCCUUGGAUAAUGUAUUUUCAAUAAAGUGCUUUACAUUCUCUACUGGUUGAAAUGAAGUCAAAUCAAAUCAAAUUUAUUUAUAUAGCCCUUCGUACAUCAGCUGAUAUCUCAAAGUCCUGUACAGAAAUCCAGCCUAAAACCCCAAACAGCAACAGCACGGCCAGGUGGACUGGGGACAGCAAGGUCAGUCAUGUCAGGUAGUCCUGAGGCAUGGUCCUAGGGCUCAGGUCCUCCUCCGAGAAAGAAAGAGAGAAUUAGAGAGAGCACACUUAAAUUCACACAGGACACCGAAUAGGAUAUCCUAGGACAUCAAUGGUUGACAUACACUGUUGAAGUGUAUAAAUUGUAAUAAAUACAGGAUAUUGACACCAGUAAGAUUGCACCUAAAUCAACCAUUUAUCGGAUCAUCAAGAACUUCAAGGAGAACAGUUCAAUUGUUGUGAAGAAGACUUCAGGGCGCCCAAGAAAGUCCAGCAAGCGCCAGGACCGUCUCCUAAAGUUGAUUCAGCUGCGGGAUCGGGGCACCACCAGUACAGAGCUUGCUCAGGAAUGGCAGUAGGCAGGUGUCAGUGCAUCUGCAUGCACAGUGAGGUGAAGACUUUUGGAGGAUGGCCUGGUGUCAAG